CCUGUAUUCCCAACACUUUGGGAGGCUGAGGCGGGCAGAUCACCAGGUCAAGAGUUCGAGACCAACCCGGCCAACAUAGUGAAACCCUGUCUCUACUAAAAAUACAAAAAUUAGCCGGGCAUGGUGGCACGUGCCUGUAGUCCCAGCUACUCUGGAGGCUGAGGCAGGAGAAUCUCUUGAACCUGGGAGGCAGAGGUUGCGGUGAGACGAGAUCGCUCCACUGCACUUCAGCCUGGGCAACAGAGUGAGAUUCCGUCUCAAAAAAAAAAAAAAAAAAGCAAAAAUUAGCUGGGCUUGGUAGCGCACACCUGUAGUCCCAGCUAGUUGGGAGGCUGAGGCAGGACAAUCACUUGAACCUGAGAGGUGGAGGUUGCAGUGAGCCAAGAUUGCACCACUGCACUCCAGCCUGGCAACACAGUGAGACUCCAUCUCAAGAUAAUAAUAAUAAUAUAAUAAUAAUAAUAAAAACACUUUGUAGACCGGGAGCAGUGGCUCACACGUGUAAUCCUAACACUUUGGGAGGCUGAGGCGGGUGGAUCGCUUGAGCUUUGGAGUUUGAGACCAGCCUGAGCAACAUGGUGAAACCCUGUCUCUACAAAACAAAACAAAAAAUUAACUGGGCGUGCGUGCCUAUAGUCCCAGCUACUUAGAGGGCUGAGGGGGAGGAUCCCUUGAGCCCAGGAGGCAGAGGUUGCAGUGAGCCAAGAUUGC
rnacentral:lncRNA from 1 species